GCCUCUUUCUUCUUGGAUUAAAUUGGGUUUAACGCUGACUCUGAAAGUAAAACCACUGUUGGCCUUUAAAUGCCCUGGAGUCUGGAUUAGAAGGAAAGUCCCUGGUGGGUAAGGAAGGCACUUGAGAUGAGCACUGGGUAUUAUAGGUAAGUGAUGAAUUACUAAAUUCUACUCUUGAAGCCAAUAUUACACUGUAUGUUAACUAACUAGAAAAAAGAAGUAAAGUCCCUGGCUAGCUCCUGUCUUCUGUAUUCAUUAACUCAAGUCUCUUUUCUGAUCUCUCAGUCUUUAAAUUCUCAAGUGCCAGAAAUGCAGAAUCAGUACUCAUUCUUUUUUCUCUUGCCACCUGCAACUGCCCACACUUACUGAACAGACACUCUGGAGAGAGGGAGACACAGAAUCUGAAGCAGGCUCCAGGCUCUGAGCUGUCAGUAAAGAACCCAACGCAGGGCUUGAACUCACAGACUGCAAGACCAUGACCUGAGUCGAAGUCGGACGUUCAACCAACUGAGCCACCCAG